rnacentral:lncRNA from 1 species
CGACACACAUCAGCCUUGAGUUCCUUAUGAGCAUCCUGUGGAACUUUAGCAGGUGCUUUCUUUUUCUUAAACUUGUUGUCCUUCACUUUAAGUCCUUUACCAGCUCCUUGACCUAUGAGGUUAAUGGAAUGACCUCCUUGUUUCUUAAGUCUUGACUCCUCUGGAGUAAGCAUACUGGACAAUUCACUAACAUCCCACUUUUCCUUAAUAGUGUUAUAG